CUGUGUGACCUUGCACAAAUGACUCAGCCUUUCUGAACCUACAACAAAACCAAGAGAACAAGUGCUCUGUGCACAGCAAGCUAACGCACGGGGCCCACGCCCCAGCCAGGUCUGGUUGUGCCUCCUGCAGCCUCAGCAUUGGGUGACCCCAGGAGGGGAAGAUGGAAGCGCUGAUCACCUGCAAUCUCCUUUCUCCCACUGGACAGGCGGGCAGCAGGCUGGAGUUCUGGCAGGAGACGGGAAGACCCCUCAGGACCGUGGAGCCGAGUUCAGGCCAGGGACCAGGGCUGGAUGGCCUUCUCAGCCCUGGUGUCUUUCAACGUCCACAACUUCAUGGUUUCUCUAUCUUUACCGCCCUGCGAGCUGCAGCCCUCCCUCAGCUACCGACUUCCUAGCUCCCAGAGGCAGUCCUCUUCACUGAAAUGAAAUAAA